rnacentral:rRNA from 1 species
UGAGGAAUAUUGGUCAAUGGGCGCAAGCCUGAACCAGCCAUCCCGCGUGAAGGAAGAAGGCGCUAUGCGUUGUAAACUUCUUUUCCAGGGGGUGAAUUUUCCGGUCGUGACCGGAAUUGACGGUACCCUGGGAAUAAGCAUCGGCUAACUCCGUGCCAGCAGCCGCGGUAAUACGGAGGAUGCAAGCGUUAUCCGGAUUUAUUGGGUUUAAAGGGUGCGUAGGCGGAUCAAUAAGUCAGUGGUGAAAACCUGCAGCUUAACUGUAGAUGUGCCGUUGAUACUGUUGGUCUUGAGUAUGGUCAAGGUAGGCGGAAUGUGUAAUGUAGCGGUGAAAUGCUUAGAUAUUACACAGAACACCGAUUGCGAAGGCAGCUUGCUGGGCCAUUACUGACGCUGAUGCACGAAAGCGUGGGGAUCGAACAGG